rnacentral:sRNA from 1 species
UUGAUGAAUCAAUUUUAUUUAAGAUUAACUACUUUUAAAUACUCGCAUGUUAUAUGUUUUGACUGAAACACGGUUUAUAUGCAACUUUUUGCAUGGACUGAGACUCACUGUUGUCAACCCGGCAAAAAGAGGGUCACUCGAUUCAAGAUCGGUUAUCGCUACCAUGAACUGGAUACGAGUAGUGCGCGCCUAAUGGAAUAAAUGAUAAGCAAUCUAUACCAUCUAGACCGCGAGAUGGGGAAAAAUACCGAAAUUUACCUUUACCUUUUCAAAAUAUACCAUAAAUUUACCGAAACAGGUUUCAUAUAUAUUGCUAGCAUCAGAGUGUGACCAGGCUACACUGCUCAGUCAUGUUGAUUUGUUUACUUUUGUGAUAUUGAGAGAUAAAUUCUGAAAAAAAUGAACGCAAGCAGUAAAUUACUCCACUCCGGUACGAGGAAUGGCGUCAAGAUGUUUCUUCAGUGUCAGAUCCCAUAUUAUUAUACAGUUCAGAACGAACAAGUUCAAUUAAAGUUUCCCCAACCGAGUUUCCAGUGUGACCCCAUCGCCGAAAUAUGCUAGACCACUUUUCCACGCAUUUGCCCCACUGUACAUACCAUAGCGAUUACGCGCUGGCGUGGAAUCGAACGGCAAUCGCACUUGCGGUACAAACAACGUUGUUCUGGGUUCUGGAUUCUGGAUUUUGGAUUCUGGAUACUCCUUCCCGUUCUACUCGUCGUAUUUGUCCCGAUCUUGGGACUGGUGUUGUAUAUGUUUACAAAUCGUGAUUCAAGUAGUAGCGUCAAUACGAAAAUGUUUCUCCAAGGCGCAUCCCCCCCCACCACUCAAACAGCCAUUGUGGAGCUGCGCGGCAUUCAACCGAAUUGGGUUGUAUCUGUGUGUUUGUGUGUGUGUAUCUGUGUGAUCAUCGUCAAGGCGGCCAUGAAGAUGGAUUUCUUUCUUUCAGUCUUGAGAGAGGGAGAGAGAGAGAGAGAUCUUUCUUUUGGGCCAGCAACAAAGCCAAAGAAGUUGUUUUGUUGUGGCAAGCAUUGUUGCUGUGAUCAAAGCGGCUUGGCGCGUCUCACAUAUGAGUUUGAUGUUCUUUUCUCCACCGCACUCCACCGCAGAUUGUGGCACAAAGGGGGAGUCAAUAGGUUGUAUACCCUUCGUUUAGAUGCCAUAGAAAUCAUGAGUCUUCGUGGAAGAGGGUAUCAAAGCCUUCGGCACUUAAGAGUCCACCUUCCCUUUCACGUUUUUCUUGUAUUAAAUUGUAAUUACUCAU